rnacentral:rRNA from 1 species
GAGGCCUACGGGACGCAGCAGUGGGGAAUAUUGCACAAUGGGGGAAACCCUGAUGCAGCGACGCCGCGUGAGUGAAGAAGUAUUUCGGUAUGUAAAGCUCUAUCAGCAGGGAAGAAAAUGACGGUACCUGACUAAGAAGCCCCGGCUAACUACGUGCCAGCAGCCGCGGUAAUACGUAGGGGGCAAGCGUUAUCCGGAUUUACUGGGUGUAAAGGGAGCGUAGACGGCAGCGCAAGUCUGGAGUGAAAUGCCG